rnacentral:lncRNA from 1 species
AGCUAUCUUCACAAGGGCCUACCCAUGAUGAGAUAGAUUUUGAAUUCUUGGGGAAUCUCAGUGGGGAUCCAUACAUUCUUCACACUAAUGUGUUCAGCCAAGGCAAGGGAAACAGAGAGCAGCAGUUCUACCUCUGGUUCGACCCUACUGCCGAUUUCCACACAUAUUCUGUUCUCUGGAAUCCUCAGCGCAUUAUGUAAGUAUUAUUAUCCUGAUCUCCAAAACUGCAAUCUGGUUUAUGUUUUUUGGGUUUUGGCAUUGAUUUGCUCAUCCGGGGUAUCUCUGUUUCAGCUUCUCUGUGGAUGGCACCCCCAUCAGAGAGUUCAAGAACUCAGAGUCCAUAGGUGUUCCAUACCCCAAGAACCAGCCCAUGAGGAUAUACUCCAGUCUCUGGAAUGCUGAUGACUGGGCAACAAGAGGUGGGCUGGUGAAGACAGACUGGAGCCUAGCCCCCUUCACAGCCUCCUACAGGAACUUCAAUGCCAAUGCAUGUGUUUGGUCCUCUGGAUCAUCUUCUUGCAGUUCAAACUCUCCAUCUUCUACCUCCACCAAUGGUGGAUGGUACUCACAGGAGCUUGAUUCCACAAGCCAAGAGAGAAUGAAAUGGGUGCAGAAGAACUACAUGAUCUACAAUUACUGCACAGACACAAAGCGAUUCCCACAAGGCCUUCCUCUUGAAUGCACUGCCACUACCACGUCCUAGAAAGAACCGAAUCUAAGUCCAUUCAAUCAAUUCUAUUCUUUCAUUCUUUAUCAUUAUAGUUGCUGUUACAGCAGCAGAAACAUCAUACUGUUUACAUUGUAAUAUAUGAGCCAAUUCGGAUAAUAAAAGAUUCUUUAUGAAUGACAUGCACUGUUCUUCGAGCCUCAAUUUGGAUGUCAGAAACCACUAGAGAAAGAAAAGGGCAUUGUCGAAAAUAACUGAAGAGAUUAACCAUUGUCAAUAUAAUUUUUAGCUUUUUUUCAAUUUGUUUUCCCUGUUCUUUAACUUAUGAGACACAGAUGGGGCCUCGAACCAAAUUUAAGGAGUAAAUAAUUUUGAUUUCCUUCCUUUAAAUUGCAAACAGCAAGAAAGUACAGUUAAAACCACAAACCAAGCACUGAGUCACAUAAAAGCUCCAAGCAUGAUGAAGGGGGCAAACAGACACGUGAAAAAUCACCAAUCCAUGAACCCAAAAACAGUCCCAUGCCCUAUGAGUUAUCUAUUGUUAUUUUCUGUCCUGCCUCCUUUGCUUGUGGAAGUCAGCAAGCCUCUUUAUGGUGCUGGUGAUAUGUAGAUUGGGUGUGGACUCAUCUUAACAUUGUAAAUGUGUUUUAAAGUUGGGAAUGAUCUUUAGCCUCAGAAAGAACAAAUAUCUAUUCAUUGGGAUUGGAUUGUUAUAAAUGAUAUUAAAAUCGAUCUCUAACCCCUCACGUGAGAAUUUGUAUAGUCCCGCAAAAGAUGUACGUCUAUUUUGCCCCACAAUUCUAUGAAACACAACAACGACGUUAUGUCUAUAUGAGGGGUGGAUAAUUGUGAUAUCUUAUAUCGGAUGAGGAGGAAAUUUUUCUGGAGCUAUAUAAAUGUAUUAACUCCUCUUAAUCUUAUAAAAACAUUUUAAAGCUGUCAGGAUCUUUUGAGUCUAGAGCGGACAAUAUCGUUUAACAUACGAGUCUGAUCCUCUUCUUAUGACAGAUAAAUUGAUUAUUAGUUACUUCUAUUACAAUAGAUAAUACAUGAAUACUAAGCCACCUCUGAUUUUUGUUUUAUGUUUUUGUUUAAAGUUUCUCCCCUGUUCACAUUAGGUAAGCUCUACUGUAUGUGAGUAGGUAACUGGAUCUUACUAUGGGUGUUGAACAGGCAGUGAUGGAGUCUUGGGCAGGUGCUGCUUGUCUUUCUCUUGUUGUUUUGACAUUUAGGAUCUUUAUACUUGGAAAAAGUGGAUGACAGUGGGUGGAGUUAUCUAUAUAGGAAGCUCUUGUCUAGCACAUUUUUACACUAACACGCUCUUUUAAAGUUUGGUUCUGGUAAAAAGAAAUGACUUCAAUCAAUUAAUCAGCAUCCACCAAUCAUGACAUAUUCUUAUUGAGAUGAUAUUACAGAGAAGUGAAUACAUUGUAAUGUGGUGUCUGGUGAAGAUGCUCUAAUUUUUCAAAUAAUUCAGUGAGUAGGAAGAGAAUGAUCAUUCUUUGAAUAUAACACUUUAUUAAACAUAUGCAGCAAAAGAUGCAAGAGAGAGGACUUAGAUUUUGUUAGCACAAGGGACUUCAAAGGAGGAGAACUUGCGUUCUCUUUGGUCGGAAGAAGCUAUUUAUAGAGUUUUUCCUUGGGUUUCUAAUGAAAUUUCUUACUUAUUCAGAUCUCUUUCAUUUUAGUAGGAUUGGCAACUUUAUAAACCUUGGAACUAUGAUCUUUGACUAUUCUUGUUCUUGCAGUAGUUUUUUUUCUCUGAUAUAUGUUUUUGUAGUCAAGCCAUCAUGUUGGUGAUUUUACUGGCCUCCAGAAAAAAUGAAUACUUUGAGAUGCCCAAAGUGGGGAUUGUUAAAUCUUCUGCACCUCCAUCUGGCAUUUUUGUUUUUUUUUCUGUACUCUUAAUUCAGUGCAAAUAAUAAGAAAUAAACUGCAUAUGAGAAUCACCUGCCUUUUUCGGGCUGUAACUCGGCUUGUGCUAUCAGUGUUUAUUUGUUGUCUGAUUGAUGCACUUGCAGCUACCAACUGGCAGUGAUGAUGGCUUGGGCAGGUGCUAUUUGUCUUUCUCUCCCCUGUUUUUUGGCAUUUAGGAUCCUUCACACUAGGAAAAAUGUCUAGGGAAGCUGUAGUCCAGCACAUUUUUACACUGAAAUGCCCUUUUGUGGUCUGGAACUUAAGCCACAAGCUUUACUACAGUAAAAAGAAAAUGAUUGGAAUCAAGUAAUGAUCAAACCAAUUGAUCAGGACAACUUUUUGUUAAGCUGUUAACAACUUUGAUAUGCUGAAAAGGAUUCCAAACCUGGUUGGGGGACGCGGCAGAAGUUAAAAGCAAUGAUAUUUGCUCAGUACUUUUCCAUUGGAAUACCGUGUGAUUGUGAUGAUUUUAAAAAUAUCAGGAGGAAGUCGGUUGUGGUUGUAUUGUGAGUACUGAUGAAGGAGGCCCGUUUGCAAAUGGGUUACCACUGCCACCUGUAUACAACUCAUUUUUUGGCUCUCCAACUUUGAACCUUCCCAGAAUUAACACACCCCUCUCUCUCCUCCCUUAGUAUAAAUGUCGGCUGAGAAAUCAAUUUCAAUUCACUGAAAUCAAACAUCUUCUCUUCAAACACCUCUUACCAACCAUACAGCACAUCCCUCAAUGGCACCCAUCUAUUCUUCUUCUUCAGCUGUUUCUACGGCCCUGCUAAUCUCUGUAGUGGUAAGCUUCUUAAUGGCUGCCUCAGCAGGUAACUUCUACCAAGACUUUGGCAUCACUUGGGGGGAUGGGCGUGCUAAGAUACUCGACAAUGGAGAGUUUCUCACUCUUUCCCUUGACAAGACCUCUGGAUCUGGUUUCCAGUCCAAGAAUGAGUAUUUGUUUGGGAAGAUUGACAUGCAGCUCAAACUUGUUCCUGGAAACUCUGCUGGCACCGUCACUGCCUACUAUGUAAGCCCGCCUUUCAUAUUACUUGUUGCACAUCAUCCUCCAUUUGAUGAUCAUUUGUUCUCCAGAUUAAUAUGUAGUUCUCAUUCAUGUAUGUGUGGAUUUGCAGUUAUCUUCACAAGGGCCAACCCAUGAUGAAAUCGACUUUGAAUUCCUGGGGAACCUCAGUGGGGAUCCAUAUAUCCUUCACACUAAUGUGUUCAGCCAAGGCAAGGGAAAUAGAGAGCAGCAGUUCUACCUGUGGUUUGACCCAACUGCCGAUUUUCACACCUAUUCCAUUCUCUGGAAUCCCCAGCGCAUUAUGUAAGUACUAUUAUCCAAAUCUUCAAAACUGCAAUCUGGUUUAUGUUUUUUGCGUUUUCAUAUUGAUUUACUCGUCUGGGGUAUCUCUGUUUCAGCUUCUCUGUGGAUGGCACCCCCAUCAGAGAGUUCAAGAACUCUGAGUCAAUUGGUGUUCCAUACCUAAAGAAUCAGCCCAUGAGAAUAUACUCCAGUCUAUGGAAUGCUGAUGACUGGGCAACAAGAGGUGGGCUCAUCAAGACAGACUGGACCCAAGCCCCCUUCACUGCUUCCUAUAGGAACUUCAAUGCAGAUGCCUGCAUUUGGUCUUCUGGAGCAUCUUCUUGCAGUUCAAAUACCCCCACUUCUAUCUCCCCCAGUACUGACUGGUACUCACAAGAGCUAGAUUCCACAAGCCAAGAGAGAAUGAAAUGGGUGCAGAAGAAUUACAUGAUCUACAAUUACUGCACUGACACAAAGCGAUUCCCACAAGGCCUUCCUCCUGAAUGCACUGCAACCACCACAUCCUAGAAGGAAACUCAACAUUAAGGCCAUUCAGUUGAUGCUUUCUUUGUUGGCUUGUAUCAUUUUUGUAACUCUAUUCUUUCAUUUUUUUUUUUUAUCAUUUAAUUGUCAUCAAAACAACAGAAGCCUCACAUUGUUUACAGUAUAAUAUAUGAGGAUUUCUGAGUAACUUUUAUCAUCACUUAUUGCUUCAAAGUUCAAAUGAAAUAGGGUGGGAGAUUUGAAACUCAAUCUAAUGAUCAUCAGUGCGGUAGAAAAGUGUUCUCGUCCGUGCCAAUCUCUGUAAUGGUUAGCUUCAUAAUGGCUGCCUCUGCAGGUAACUUCUACCAAGCUUUGACAUCACUUGGGGAGAUAGGCUUGCCAAUAUACUCAUCAAUGGGGAGCUUCUUACUCUUCCCUAGACUUCAUGAAAAUUUCAGCAUUCUUUAACAAAGAAGUCUUGUAAUCUAAUCAUAUUGAGAAGUGACAGUGACACGAUUCAAUUCGCAGUGGCGUUUGUUAUUUUAACUUAGGUAAGCAAGUCGUUUUAAAAUUUAAGAUAAAAGUUAAAAAAAAUAAAAUACUUUUUUCUUUCAAAUAAAGUUGUUUUAAAAAAUAAUAAUAAUUCAAAAAAACCAAACCGUUUUAAAAAUACUAAACCCUCUAAACAUUUUUUUUAAGACUUAAUUUUUAGUAUCCUAAUUUUAAAAAAAAAAAAAAUUGGUUUUAAAUAUAUAAGGUAAAUUUAUUCUUUUAUACAAAAUGUUCUUUUUAUAUAGAAUUUAUUUUUAUUUUUUUUAAAAAAAAAAGGUGUAUCCAAACAAAUAUUAAAAGUAUAAUAAUUUUAAAAACUAUUUAAAAUUUUGAGUUACUACCUCAAAUUUAAAACAAAAAAAUUAAAGUGAUUCUUAGUAUAUUGUAAUCAAUACUUUUUAUAUAAGAUGUUUUACUUCUAUAUAGAAAUCAAAAAGUGAAAUCCAAAUGAUGAUUGGUAUAUGUUUAGAUAGUUUUUUUUUAUAAGAUAAAAAUAAUUAUUAUUAUUUUGUACAAAAAAAAAAAAAAAGAUUUAUAUUGUAUCUUUAAAGUCACUUCAAAAGUUUUAAAAUUUGAGAUGGUAAAAAAAAAAUUAUAACUCAAUUUUUUUUAAAUAUUUUUAAAAUCAUUAUAUUUUCAAUAAAAAUAUCUAAAAAUUAUGGCAUUUUAUAUAAAUAUUACUAUUAUUUUUUAUUCAAAAAUAUAAAAUAAGAAAUGUAUUAGAUAGACACUAGUAUUAAAUAUUAUUUAGACUUAAAUUAAACUACAAUCUAUUAAAUCCACUGUAAUCAUUAUUGAAAAGUAACUUAAUUACAUUUGGAAUUAACUUCAUCGUAUCCGUAGGUCCAUCGUAUAAUUUGGUCAUUAUUGGAAAGUAAUAUACUCAUGUAUGAAAGUAAGUUGAUCAUAUUUAGGAGAUGAAUUGGUUAUCCAUAUGAAUUUAAUUAUUAAAACUGAAGAUAUCAUACCUCUACCACCCUACAAUGCACAAUGUAGACAAAGGUCCAUCAAUAUUACACAUUAAGCCCCAAAGCCCAAUAUAGAAAUGAGUCAAAUGACAGAUAGAUACUUCAAAACUUGAACCAAAAAGUGUGAAGUAGUUAUUUUCAACACUAGAGAUACAUUUCCAAAAAUCAUAAGUUUAUCUCAAUGACAAACAUAGUUUUCAAGUAAAUUAAAGAAAUUAACUUUCACAAGCUUAAGAAUACAAUUAAAUCAACUAGGUGGGGGUGGUUGGUUCAAACUUCAGGGACGGUGGUGGCUCUAGGUAUGGAUAAUAAUUGGUGUUUUGGUAGAAGGGAAAGUGGUUUGGCCCUUCUGUUUCUUUUUUCAAGUGCAUGCAUAGACCGUGUCAAAAUGAAAGUGGGUUGCGCUUGUGCCAUCAGAUGACAGCUAUUGCCUUCACAUAUUGAGCUCAACUGUGAACAGCUGCUGACUCAUCCUUCCUUCUCUCCUUCCAGGCUUCCGCUUUUCCCCCUCACCAUCUAUACUAUAAAACCCCACGUACCCACACCGUUCUCCUCACUUCCACACUCCAAACUUCUCCCCAUUUCCCAUCCCUAUAUUCACAUUCAAUGGCUUCUCCCUCUACUUCGAAUCUGUCACCAAAGUUGCUCUUGAUGUCUCUUCUGCUUGGUUCCUUUGUGGUUGCUUCUGUUGGUAACUUGUACCAAGAUUUUGAUCUCACUUGGGGUGAUGGCAGAGCCAAGAUCCUCAACAAUGGACAGCUUCUUACUCUCUCCCUUGACAAAGCCUCUGGCUCUGGCUUCCAGUCCAAGAAUGAGUAUCUGUUUGGGAAGAUUGAUAUGCAGCUGAAGCUUGUGCCUGGAAACUCUGCUGGCACUGUCACUGCCUACUAUGUAAGCCUCCUCUUUACCAAGUGUUUUUGCAUCAAAUGCUUUCUUGGUUUUAUCUUCUUCUGACUCACAAACCAAUACCUGCUUUGUGUAAUUGCAGCUAUCUUCACAAGGGCCUACCCAUGAUGAGAUAGAUUUUGAAUUCUUGGGGAAUCUCAGUGGUGAUCCAUACAUUCUUCACACUAAUGUGUUCAGCCAAGGAAAGGGAAACAGAGAACAGCAGUUCUACCUCUGGUUUGACCCCACUGCUGAUUUCCACACCUAUUCCAUCCUCUGGAAUCCCCAGCGGAUUAUGUAAGCACUAUAGUAAUUAAUCUUCAAAAUUGCAAUCUGGUUUACGUUUUUCGGGUUUUUGUAUUGAUUUACUCAUCUGGGGUAUCUCUGUUUCAGCUUCUCUGUGGAUGGCACCCCCAUUAGAGAGUUCAAGAACUCUGAGUCCAUUGGUGUUCCAUUCCCAAAGAACCAGCCCAUGAGGAUAUACUCCAGUCUCUGGAAUGCAGAUGACUGGGCAACAAGAGGUGGUCUUGUGAAGACAGACUGGAGCCAAGCACCUUUCACAGCCUCCUACAGGAACUUCAAUGCCAAUGCUUGUGUUUGGUCCUCUGGAUCAUCUUCUUGCAGUUCAACCUCUCCAUCUUCUACAUCCACCAAUAGUGGAUGGUACUCACAAGAACUAGAUUCCACAAGCCAAGAGAGAAUGAAAUGGGUGCAGAAGAACUACAUGAUCUACAAUUACUGCACAGACACAAAGAGAUUCCCACAGGGCCUUUCCCCUGAAUGCACUGCCACCACCACAUCCUAGAGGAAACUCAACCUUAAAGGCCAUUCAGUUAGAUAGUUUGCCUCUGUAGGUUUCCUCAGUUCUGUUCUUUCAUUCUUUAUCAUUUUAGUCGGUAUCACCACAGCUCAUUGUUUACAUUGAAAUAUAUGAGAUGAAUAAAAAAUCCUUUUAGCCCUUUUUCUGUUUCUUCUCCUUGUUCUUUAACUUCUGACAGAUACAGAUUGGGCCUUAUACCAAAUUUAAAGAGUAAAUAAUCUUAAUUUCUUUCCACUUUAAUCACAAACAGCAAGAAACUUCAGUUAAGAGUCACCAAAACUAUGUACUGAGUCACACAAGAAGCUCCAUGCAUGAUGAAGGCGGCACACAGACAAAUGUAAAAUCGCCCCCAAAUCCAUGAACCCUAUAAAAUAAUAUUUUUCAAACUAAGAGAAAUUAUUACCUUAAUGGCAUGGUUGAUUUAUUCAUAAAUGAAUAAUUUAUUAAUUUAUUGAUAAAUAAAUAAUUAUCAAUUAAUAAAGAAUAUUAUAUUCGUAUUAUAUAGUUCUUGUACAUAUGACUUAUUAAUCUAAAAAUAAUAGAUAUAAUAAAAAGUUAAUAUAUAGAAACUUAAGAAACCUGAAAAAAUAAAAAAUGGUUAUUAAUUAUAAAAGAUAGCGGGACUCUGAAAAGAAAAAAAUGUAGUAUCAAAACUUAAAAAUUUAUUUGAUAAUAAUUUUAAGUAACACAUUUAAUUUUAAAAGCAUUUUUUUUAAAAAAAGAAAUAAAAAAGACAUUUCACAAGAUUUGGAAAACACUUUUAAAAAUUAAUAAAAAAAGGUUUUCAACAAAAACACUUUUGAAGAGAAACAAUGUCAAAUUCACUUUUAAUUGCUAAAACAUAAAUAUUAUUCAUAAAUUUUUUUAAACUCUUAUAUAUUUCUAAAAUAAUAUUAUUAUCUUUUAUAUUUAAUAAAGUUAUUAAUUUAGUACACAGCUCGAGGCGUUAUCGAGCCUUUACCGUGUCUCCGAUGUUCACAUUGGGUAAGCUCUUCGAUAUGUUGUUGGCUGGCAAGGAGAUGAGCAGGUGACUGGAUCUUGCCAGUGGUGUUCAACUUGCAAUUACAAAUUUACAACUGGCCAUGAUGAUGGCUUGGGCAGGUGCUACUUAUCUUUCUCACCCUGUUUUGGCAUUUAGGAUCUUUAGACUUGGAAAAAAGUGGAUGACAGUGGGUGGUGGAGUGAUGUAUGUAGGAAGCUCUGGUCCAGCACAUUUUUACACUAGAGCCCUCUUUUGAGGUUUGGUUCUGGUAAAAGGAAAAUGAUUUGAAUCAAGUAACCAUCAUCAUCAACUAAUCAUGACAAGUUUUUUUUUUUGAACUGUUUGAUAUAUUGGAAAGGGACAAAACCAGGUUGGGGAAGCAGGUAGACGAGGCAGAAGUAAGAUCUAUGAUACUUCCUGAGUAGUUUUAUAUUGCAAAACCGUGUGGUUCUGAUGAUUUAAAAAGUAUUAGUUGGGAGGAGGAAGCCCAUUUGUAGAUAUGGUUGCCACUGCCAUCUGUAUACAACUUAUUCUUUGGUCUCCCACUUUGAACCUUCCUGCAGCACCCUCUCAAGCUCACUAGAUCUCUCCCACCAAGUAUAAAUUGGAGUUGGAAGAGAUCAAUUUCAAGUCACUAACAUCAAACUUCUUCUCUUCAAACACCUCUUAGCAACUAUAUAGCAUAUCCCUCAAUGGCACCCAUCUAUUCCUCUUGUUCAACUGUGACAACAACCCUGCUCAUCUCUGUAUCUCUACAUUGAUCAUAGGAUAUAUGUAUGAAUUCUGCAUGUUUUAUUGCAGAUAAAUGAGUGGUUAUUCAGAGGGCAGUGCAUUGUAAUGGCAGCCUCCAAAUCAUCUUAGUUCAUUCAAAACAUUGAGCAGUUUAUUAUAACAUCCUUUCUAGUGCAGGAUUACCAGCUAGAGAGAAGAGUUCUUGAUACUGAUAUAUGUAGUACAGCUCUAAUAGAAGUUGUUCUAAACCUUCAAGGUUUAAAUGAAGGUGGCUUCCUAAUCUUAGUUGCUUGCUCGAAGCUAUAUGCAAUCUCGAUCAUAUUGUCACUAGUUUUAUGGGGCAUCCCAGGUUGGUGUAAAAAGUUGACAAAAGCUACCAUGAAAAAAGAUAUUAUUUAUUGUAAUUUUUCUCUUCAUUUUUUAAGUGAUACACCGGGUGAUAGUAUGACAAUUGAAAUGAAUCACAAUAAAUUAUUCAAAUAACAAAAAUUAUUACAUUGUUUGAAUUAAUUUUUAUUUUUAUUAAUAAAAUAAUUAAAUAUUUUAUAUCGAAGUUAUAAAUAUUUUUUAUUUUUAAAAAUAAAAAAAUUAUCUACAUACCAAUAUACAAUUUGUAUGUAUACACAGAAAAAUCAUUAAAACAUUCAUAGAUAAGGAUGAAAAUAUUGGUUUUUACAAAUAUAUUAGUAAUUGGAUUUUAUGAAUAUAUUAAAAAAUAUUGAUGAAAAUUUUAAUAAAAGAUAUCAAUAGGACGAAAUUAAUAAAACCUCAUACAAAAUGUUGAAAAAAAAUUCUAAAAGAUAAUAGAAGAAACAACAGUAAAGUUAUAUAUAUAUAUAUAAUUUUUAUGAUAUCAAGUAAUAUUAUAUAGAACUCGGAAAUAUAUUUAUAGAUGAAUGUAUUCAAAAUAAAAGAGAAUUAUUAUAUAUUAUUUUCAAAUUUAUGUUUCUGUUACUUUCUUAAAGAAAUGUUUUGUUGAUUUUGAGAAUCUCCUUUGAUUUUUAUAGCCGUUUGUGGUUGAUGGCAUAGAGAUCAUAGUAAAUAAUUACAAUUUUCUGACCAUUUUUCUGGCCUAUUGUUUUGUUUCGUGAAAUUGAAAAUUUGGUAAUAAAAACCUUUUUCCAAUUUGUAACACUGAAAACUUGAAGUUGCAAAAAAGGUAAAUUCAUGGAAGUUUGUGAUUGACAUGUGAUGGUUUAAAUUUUAGCCUGUGUGGGCUACAAUGGAAAUUUCAGUGGCUAAAUGUAACUAGUUUCUGCAACAUGUUUUUAACACGCUAGGCAAGAAAAUUUGUUAAUAUUUUUUUUCUCAAUUUUAUUAAUCCAAAUAGUCUAACCAUAGAUGGAGAAUGAACAAUACAAAUAGUGGUGUGUAUCACUGAAUAUAGUUAGAGGGAGGGUUGAAUGAGACUGAUAUCUUUUUUACCAAUCUACUCUAAGAGUUUAAUUUUUGUUUUCCUGAAAUUUUUUUAUUAUUUAACAAAUUGAUAAUCAUCUAAAAUAAAUUGUUAAUUUUAUUUUUCUUCCAUUUUUCCUUUAUUUUAUUUCGUGGUUAACCAAACAAAAGAAAAUGAAUUCCUUUUUUUUUUUCCUUUAAUUUUUCAUGGAUAACCAAAUAAGUGAAAAAAUUUAUAUUUAUUUCCUUAACUUUUUCUUUUUUUCCAUUUUUUCUCCCAUUUUUCUUUCUCUUGCAUUUUCCCGAACCAAACAUAGCCUAAAAAAACAGGUUUUCUCAUAUUUAGUUUUAUCAUAGAAAAAAUAUAUAUAUAUAUAUAAGUUAAAACCUCUUUAGGAACUUCUAUCUUGACCUUACGCUAAACCAGCCCACCAACCUAUCACAGUUGACAAUUGGUUGAGCUCUGGCGGUGAGUGGCUUUUGUCAGAAGCCGAGUAGAUUUCAAUGAAGCUAGCUAGCACCGAUCUUUUGGGCUGUUACUGGGUCCAGCAUGAGCGUAUUUGCUGGGUUGGUGAUGCUUUUUCAGGUACAAGUGGAGAUGGUGGUAGCUGGGCCAGGUGUGUAAUUUGUCCUUGUCUCCCUGUUUGGCCAUUUAGGAUCCUUUUGACUGAGAAAAAGUAGCUGAUACCGACAGGAGUGAUCUCUCCAGGAGCUUCUCUUCUAGGAGAAGGCGGACGCGGCAGACAGAAAGAGUCUUGCAAUCAAUUUCCAGAUUUUUCUAUUCCAAAACCGCGUGAGUAUUGUUGAUGCCUUGCGUUCUAGGAUACACAUAGCUGCCAAGUGGACACGCGCCUUCAAUCAAGAUUGAGUCCUGACUCAGUCGGCCCUGUAAAAGGUAUCCGGAUAGGGUGUCCGGACACACCAUCCGAUGAUUUUGUUAGCCAUGACAUAAGAUGAAGAUACUAAAAGGAAAGCAGCUUUAAAUGUAUCAAGAAUACUGAUGAUGGAGGCCCACUUGUAGACGGCGCUACUGUAUACAGCUCAGUUUCUGCUCUCCAAAUAUGAACUUUCCCAGUAGUAUCAGCAUCAUUAUAACUAAGAGAUUAGAGAGAUUGAUUUCAUUGAUUCAGCAUAACCAAAUUUCUUCACUUUGAACAUUUCUUACCAACCAUACAACAUAGUUUUCAAUGGUAUCUCCAUAUUCUUCUUUAGCUUCAGGCCUGCUGAUCUCUCUACUGGUCAGCUUCUUAAUAGUUGCUUCAACAGGUAACUUGGCAUUACUUAGGGGGAUGGGCGUGCUCAGAUACUCAACAAUCAUCCCUAUUUGAUGUGAGAUAUCAGAUGGCAUUACUUAAAAUGUGUUUACAUGAUUAAGAGGAACUCACACUUUUACAGUAUUAGAAACUUUCUCCCUAUCUGAUGUGGGAUAUCACAAUCAUCCCCAUAAAAACACAACGUCCUUGUUGCAUCACAAGGGAUUACAAGGUCAAACAAACCCUUACAUUGAGGUUAAAGAUCAACUUGAUACCAUUUGUAAGACUCGUUCUUAACUAUGUAGAUUUUAUCCUCUCUAAACCCAAAAUAACCCUCAAUACUUCAAAACGCAUCUACAUAAUUAAGAGAAGUACACAUUUACAUAGCGUCAAGAGUUUAUCUCGUCUACGAUGUAGGAUAUCACAAAGCACCAUUCACUGCCUCCUACAAGAACUACAAUGUCAAUGUUUGUGUUUGGUUCUCUAGAUCAUCUUCUCACAAUUCAACCCCUCCCUUUUCUACUUCCACCAAUGGUGCAUGGUACUCAAGAGCUAAAUUCCACAAGCCAAAAAAGAAUGAAAUGAAGGCAGAAGAAUUACAUGAUCUACAAUUACUGCACGGGCAUAAAGCAAUUCCCACAAGACCAUGCUCCUAAAUGCAUUGCUGCCACCACAUCCUAAAGGAAACUCAACCCUAAUAACAUUCAGUUGACUCUUUCUUUGCUUGUAUCAUCUUGAUAAUUCUAUUCUUUCAUUCUUUAUUGAUAAUAACAACAAUUGAAUCAAGAAAAAAAGUGUGAUAUCUCAUUAAUUGUUUAAGUUAUGAACAGAGGAAUUAUUUAUACAAGGGCAAGCACUAAUUCCAUAGCAAGAUGACAUGUUGGUUGAGUGGUUACAACUGAGUAGUAGCUUGUAUAACAGUUUGGUAAUUAAUCAGUUGUUAGUUUAGUCACUGUUAACUAUCUAGCAUUUAUAAUCACGAUUUUUAUAAUGUAAUUAUGAAUUAUGAAAUUUACUUAUUCUGAAAUAUUACCUUUUUUAAUAAAUGACCAACAUAAAUAGAAAAGCUUUAGGUUAUGUUUGGUUUCCGGAAAAUACAAAGUAAAGAAAAAAAAUACAAAGGAAAGAAAAAAAAUACAAAGGAAAAUGAUCUUUUCAUGUUUGAUUGUUCUAUGAAAAAUAUAAAAAAAAUCAAAUAUAAUUAAAAUUAAUUAAAAACUUAUGUAUUUUUAAAUUAUUUAAUCUUUAUAUUGAUGAGUUAAAAUAAAUAAAAUGAGUUUGAAGUAACAAAAAAAAAUAAUUUAUCAACUUUUAAUUAAUUUUUUUAUUUUCCUUCACUUUUUCUCUCCUUCUACUUUUCUUUUGUAUUUUCUUUCCCUUACAUUUUUCUUCAAAUUUUCUAGGAACCAAACAUAGCUUUAGUCUAGGCAAAAACCUUGGAUUUGCAAUGGCAAAACUUGUGUAUUUUAUUAUUGUUCUAUAUAUACACAAAAGGACGUUACUUUACAAAAAAGAAGAAAUACAAGAAGUAUAAAUUAGGAAAAAGAAGGAAUUAUGCUCAGAGAAGAUUCAAUCACAAAUAAAGUACACCAAAAUCAAAGAUGUACAAAAACAAAAUAUUCGAUAAUACUCUCCCUCAAGUUGAAGUAUGGAGGUACGAACACCCACUUAUGAAUGAGGGAAGGAAAAACGUUAACUCUUAAAGUCUUGAUAAAGACAUCGAUUAAUUGGUCUUUGAUUUGAAUAUAUGCAAUAUGAACUAAAUCAACUUUAAUUCUUUCGCGUAUCACAUGACAAUCAAUUUCGAUGUAUUUAGUGUGUUCACAAAAUGCUAGAUUUACAACCAUAUUGAGCUUAGGUUGUUAUUGCAAAACAUGAUAGUAGGUUGCAUAUGGGUAAUGUGUAGAUCAUGGAACAAUAAAAGAAGUCAUUGAAUUUCACAAGUUGUAACCAUGACACGAUAUUUCGGCUUUAUUAGAGGUGAUUCUUUAAAAAAUCACUUGUUUAUAUAUCAAAAAUCAAAAUGGGUGUUAUUUGUAAACACUUCUUGCUUUAUUCCUAGAUUAAAUGUAAAAAAUACACUUACCUUUAAAAAGUAAUGUAUUUUAAAAAGUAUUUAAAAAAAUUGAAAUAUUAAAAAAAAAUUACUACUUCAAAUUUUAAGAAUUUUAAAAAUACAUUUUAGAGAUAUAAAGUAAAUUGAUAGUUUUAUAUAAGAAUUAUUCUAUUUUAUAUAAAAGUUAAUAUUUAUUUCUAUUUUAAAAAAUAAAUAAUAAAAAAUAUAUCCAAACAGGCAUUAAACAAUUAUUUUUUUAAAGGUCCGGGAUGAACUGUUAAUAAAAGUAUACAAACAAUAACGUUUUAACUAAAAAUCACUCUACAACAAACUUUAAAUUAUGUAAAAUUCAGGGUUUGAUAAGUUUCCAACUCAGGGUUUAAUAAUGUGUUUGGUAAAAGGGAAAGUGGAUCUGCCCUUUUGUCCGCUUUAAGUGCAUUCAUAAACCGUGUCAAAAUGAAAGUGGGCUCUGCUUGUCCCAUUUGAUGACAACUAUUUUCUUUACAUUUUGGAGCCCAGCUGUGCCCAGCUGCUGACUGAACCUUCCUCAUCUCCUUCCAAUUCCCCCAGAACUUCUACUAUAAAACCCCACAUACCCACGCUAUUCUCUUCACUUCCAUACUCAAGCUUCUUUCCAUUUCUCGUCUCUGUAUUCGCAUUCAAUGACUUAUCCUACUACUUCAAAUCUUUCACCAAAGUUGCUCUUGCUCUCUCUUCUGCUUGGUUCCUUUGUGGUUGCUUCUGUUGGUAACUUGUACCAAGAUUUUGAUAUCACUUGGGGUGAUGGCAGAGCCAAGAUCCUCAACAAUGGACAGCUUCUUACUCUCUCUCUUGACAAAGCCUCUGGCUCUGGCUUCCGGUCCAAUAAUGAGUAUCUGUUUGGGAAGAUUGAUAUGCAGCUGAAGCUUGUGCCUGGAAACUCUGCUGGCACUGUCACUGCCUACUAUGUAAGCCUCCUCUUUACCAAGCGUUUUUCCAUCAAACGCUCUCUUGUUUUCAUCUUCUUCUGACUCACAAAUCAAUAUCCUGCUUUGUGUAAUUGCAGCUAUCGUCACAAGGGCCUACCCAUGAUGAGAUAGAUUUUGAAUUCUUGGGGAAUCUCAGUGGUGAUCCAUACAUUCUUCACACUAAUGUGUUCAGCCAAGGCAAGGGAAACAGAGAGCAGCAAUUCUACCUCUGGUUCGACCCAACUGCCGAUUUCCACACAUACUCCGUUCUCUGGAAUCCCCAGCGCAUUAUGUAAGUACUAUUAUCCUGAUCUCCAAACCUGAAAUCUGGUUUAUGUUUUUCGGGUUUCUGUAUUGAUUUACUCAUCAUGGGUAUCUCUGUUUCAGCUU